rnacentral:rRNA from 1 species
GUGGGGAAUAUUGCACAAUGGGCGAAAGCCUGAUGCAGCGACGCCGCGUGAAGGAUGAAUGUCUUCGGAUUGUAAACUUCUAUCAGCAGGGAAGAAUAAAUGACGGUACCUGACUAAGAAGCCCCGGCUAACUACGUGCCAGCAGCCGCGGUAAUACGUAGGGGGCGAGCGUUAUCCGGAUUUACUGGGUGUAAAGGGUGCGUAGGCGGCUUGGUAAGUCAGAAGUGAAAUUUAGGGGCUCAACCCCUAAGCUGCUUCUGAAACUGCUGAGCUAGAGUGUGGGAGAGGAAAGUGGAAUUCCGAGUGUAGCGGUGAAAUGCGUAGAGAUUCGGAGGAACACCAGUAGCGAAGGCGGCUUUCUGGACCAUAACUGACGCUGAGGCACGAAAGCGUGGGGAUCAAACAGGAUUAGAAACCCUAGUAGUCC